CGUUAUGGCGGGCUGCAUGGGGAGACCUUCGGGUCUGCCGGGUUCCUCUUUCUCCGGUUCGCCAACCCCGUGCAGUCCGCCCCCAAG
rnacentral:antisense_RNA from 1 species